CGCGGGAAUCCGGGUCGACCACGAUCCAAGGCUAAACACAGAGAGCGACCGAUAGUGCAGAAGUACCGUGAGGGAAAGGCGAAAAGAACCCCGGCGAGGGGAGUGAAAAAGAACCUGAAACCGUGGACCCGCAACAGGUCGGAGCCGCAGAGAUGCGGUGACGGCGUGCCUUUUGUAGAAUGAGCCUGCGAGUUAUGGUAUGUAGCGAGGCUAAGGGAUGGGAGUCCCGGAGCCGCAGGGAAACCGAGUCUGAACAGGGCGAUAAUUUAGUUACAUGCCAUAGACCCGAAGCCAAGUGAUCUAGCCACAGGCAGGCUGAAGCCCGGGUGAAACCGGGUGGAGGGCCGAACCCUAGUCUGUUAAAAAAGGCAGGGAUGACCUGUGGCUUGGAGCGAAAGACUAAACAAACUUGGAAAUAGCUGGUUCUCCCCGAAAUGCCUUGAGGGACAGCCUCGCCAAAACCUCGCGCAGGUAGAGCACUGGAUGGACUAGGGGGCCUCACCGCCUACCAAACCCAAUCAAACUCCGAAUGGCGCGAGACAACUGGCGGGAGUGAGACUGCGGGCGACAAGGUCCGUAGUCGAGAGGGAAACAGCCCUGACCGCCGGCUAAGGUCCCGGAUAGCAUGCUGAGUGUGAAAUGAUGUGCCCUGGCGAGGACAGCCAGGAGGUUGGCUUAGAAGCAGCCAUUCCUUGAAAGAGUGCGUAACAGCUCACUGGUCGAGUCACGGCGCGCAGACAAUGUAACGGGGCUAAGCAUGCAACCGAAGCCGCGGAAUUCACGAGCGAUCGUGAGUUGGUAGGGGAGCAUUCCGCAGACCGACGAAGGCGUGCCGGAAGGCGCGCUGGAGGGGGCGGAAGAGAGAAUGCAGGUAUAAGUAGACGAAAAGAGGGGUGGGAUUCCCCUCCGCCGGAAGCCCAAGGUUUCCUGGGUAAAGGCAAUCUUCCCAGGGUAAGUCGGCCCCUAAGGCGAGGGCGAAAGCCGUAGUCGAUGGGAAACCGGUUCAUAUUCCGGUACCGUUUCUGAUUUCAAGGGAUGACGCGUGAGGCGAAACCCGGCCGGGGGACGGUAGUCCCGGUCGAAGCCGCGAGCUAUUGGUAGCGGAGAAAACGCUGACAGGCGAGAGGUGACAGCGAGCCGACCUACGGGAAGGCGAAGCGGGCGUAGUCAAGGCGCCGAGAAACAAUCCCCACUGGUAUAGAUCAGGAAGACCGUACCGCAAACCGACACAGGUGGGCGGGAUGAGAAAUCUAAGGCGCACGAGAGAACUCGCGUUAAGGAACUCGGCAAAAUGCGCACGUAACUUCGGGAGAAGUGCGGCCGCUUUUGGUUUAGCAAUAAGUUAAAGGCGGCGACACAAAGCAGUCCCAGGCGACUGUUUACCAAAAACACAGGCCUCCGCGAACCAGCAAUGGGAAGUAUGGGGGCUGACACCUGCCCGGUGCCGGAAGGUUAAGGGGAGCGGUUAUCCGACCACUUAAUUACUUAAAGGCUGUGGAGAAAGACACAGGAAUAGGUUGAGUAAUUAAGUGGUCGGAGAAGCUGCGAACCGAAGCCCCGGUAAACGGCGGCCGUAACUAUAACGGUCCUAAGGUAGCGAAAUUCCUUGUCGGGUAAGUUCCGACCCGCACGAAAGGUGUAACGAUCUGGGAGCUGUCUCGACGCGAGACUCGGUGAAAUUUAAGUACCGGUCAAGAUGCCGGUUACCCGUGGUUAGACGGAAAGACCCCGUGAACCUUCACUGCAACUUAUCGUGGGGGCUUGGCUAGGCAUGUGUAGGAUAGGUGGGAGGCUGCGAGGCGUGGGCGUCAGCUUGCGCGGAGCCAACGGUGAAAUACCACCCUUUCCUGGCUAGGCUUCUAACCCGCGCCGUGAAACCGGCGCGGGGACAGCGGUAGGCAGGCAGUUUGACUGGGGCGGUCGCCUCCCAAACAGUAACGGAGGCGCGCGAUGGUCCCCUCGCGCCGGUUGGAAAUCGGCGUAUGAGUGUAAAGGCACAAGGGGGCCUGACUGCGAGGCCGACAGGCCGGGCAGGCGCGAAAGCGGGUCUUAGUGAUCUGGCGGCAGCGAGUGGAAGCGCCGUCACUUAACGGAUAAAAGGUACUCCGGGGAUAACAGGCUGAUCUUCCCCAAGAGUCCACAUCGACGGGAAGGUUUGGCACCUCGAUGUCGGCUCAUCGCAUCCUGGGGCUGAAGCAGGUCCCAAGGGUUUGGCUGUUCGCCAAUUAAAGCGGUACGUGAGCUGGGUUCAGAACGUCGCGAGACAGUUCGGUCCCUAUCUGCCAUGGGCGUUGGAUGGCUGAGAGGAGCUGUUUUUAGUACGAGAGGACCGAGACGGACGGACCGCUGGUGUGCCGGUUGUACUGCCAAGUGCAAGCGCCGGGUAGCCAUGUCCGGAAAGGAUAACCGCUGAAGGCAUCUAAGCGGGAAGCCUGCCUCAAGAUGAGCCAUCCCUGGGGGUUCGACCCCCCCGAAGGCGCCAGGGAGACUACCUGGUUGAUAGGCUGGAGGUGUACGCACGGUAACGUGUUUAGCCGACCAGUACUAAUCCGCCGCGAGGCUUGACC
rnacentral:rRNA from 1 species